UACGUAGGGGGCGAGCGUUGUCCGGAAUCAUUGGGCGUAAAGCGCGUGUAGGCGGCUCGGUAAGUCCGGUGUGAAACCUUGGGGCUCAACCCCAAGCCUGCACUGGAUACUGUCGAGCUCGAGUCCGGGAGGGGAGAGCGGAAUUCCUAGUGUAGCGGUGAAAUGCGCAGAUAUUAGGAAGAACACCGGUGGCGAAGGCGGCUCUCUGGAACGGUACUGACGCUGAGACGCGAAAGCAUGGGGAGCGAACAGG
rnacentral:rRNA from 1 species